CUGACUGAUAUCAUAAGCUACAGUAGGGAACGUAGUGGAACUUGGACUCGACAGAAUGAUGACGUGGUGACCAUUAUAUCUGAUAUAACAAACGUGAAAAGUUACAUGUUUUUUUACGUAAAGCCAAAGAGUAGUCCGAAGAUUGAGAGCAUUCCUGCUAUCAAGAAACCUGUUAUCAAGAAACCUGAUAUCAAAAAACCUGCUAUCAAGACAUGCAGC